GUGACAAGAAUCACUCAGACUAGCCAAGGAGACUGCCCAUGAAACCAGAUGAAAGGUUCAUUUCUGAAUGAACCCUUACACCAGGACACAGGCAAGUCAUCCUUGGCUACCAGAGCUUAACCCUUGUCU
rfam:Oryza brachyantha chromosome 8, whole genome shotgun sequence.